AGUGUCCUACGGGGGGCAGCAGUGGGGAAUAUUGGGCAAUGGACGCAAGUCUGACCCAGCAACGCCGCGUGAAGGAAGAAGGCUUUCGGGUUGUAAACUUCUUUUAAGGGGGAAGAGCAGAAGACGGUACCCCUUGAAUAAGCCACGGCUAACUACGUGCCAGCAGCCGCGGUAAUACGUAGGUGGCAAGCGUUGUCCGGAUUUACUGGGUGUAAAGGGCGUGCAGCCGGAGAGGCAAGUCAGAUGUGAAAUCCGCGGGCUCAACUCGCGAACUGCAUUUGAAACUGCUUCCCUUGAGUAUCGGG
rnacentral:rRNA from 1 species